UACGUAGGGUGCAAGCGUUGUCCGGAAUUAUUGGGCGUAAAGAGCUCGUAGGCGGUUCGUCGCGUCGGCUGUGAAAACCUGAGGCUCAACCUCAGGCCUGCAGUCGAUACGGGCGGACUUGAGUACUGCAGGGGAGACUGGAAUUCCUGGUGUAGCGGUGAAAUGCGCAGAUAUCAGGAUGAACACCGGUGGCGAAGGCGGGUCUCUGGGCAGUAACUGACGCUGAGGAGCGAAAGCGUGGGGAGCGAACAGG
rnacentral:rRNA from 1 species